ACAGCCUUCUGAAAGGAAGAUUAAUACAAGAUGGCAUCAUGAGUCCGCAUGUUCACAUGAUUAAAGGUAUUCCGGUAGACGAUGGGGAUGCGUUCCAUUAGAUAGUAGGCGGGGUAACGGCCCACCUAGUCUUCGAUGGAUAGGGGUUCUGAGAGGAAGGUCCCCCACAUUGGAACUGAGACACGGUCCAAACUCCUACGGGAGGCAGCAGUGAGGAAUAUUGGUCAAUGGGCGAGAGCCUGAACCAGCCAAGUAGCGUGAAGGAUGACUGCCCUAUGGGUUGUAAACUUCUUUUAUAAAGGAAUAAAGUCGGGUAUGCAUACCCGUUUGCAUGUACUUUAUGAAUAAGGAUCGGCUAACUCCGUGCCAGCAGCCGCGGUAAUACGGAGGAUCCGAGCGUUAUCCGGAUUUAUUGGGUUUAAAGGGAGCGUAGAUGGAUGUUUAAGUCAGUUGUGAAAGUUUGCGGCUCAACCGUAAAAUUGCAGUUGAUACUGGAUAUCUUGAGUGCAGUUGAGGCAGGCGGAAUUCGUGGUGUAGCGGUGAAAUGCUUAGAUAUCACGAAGAACUCCGAUUGCGAAGGCAGCCUGCUAAGCUGCAACUGACAUUGAGUCUCGAAAGUGUGGGUAUCAAACAGGAUUAGAUACCCUGGUAGUCCACACGGUAAACGAUGAAUACUCGCUGUUUGCGAUAUACAGCAAGCGGCC
rnacentral:rRNA from 1 species